rnacentral:rRNA from 1 species
UUUCCCCUUCGGGGGACAGAGUGACAGGUGGUGCAUGGUUGUCGUCAGCUCGUGUCGUGAGAUGUUGGGUUAAGUCCCGCAACGAGCGCAACCCUUAAGCUUAGUUGCCAUCAUUAAGUUGGGCACUCUAAGUUGACUGCCGGUGACAAACCGGAGGAAGGUGGGGAUGACGUCAAAUCAUCAUGCCCCUUAUGAUUUGGGCUACACACGUGCUACAAUGGACAAUACAAAGGGCAGCGAAACCGCGAGGUCAAGCAAAUCCCAUAAAGUUGUUCUCAGUUCGGAUUGUAGUCUGCAACUCGACUAUAUGAAGCUGGAAUCGCUAGUAAUCGUAGAUCAGCAUGCUACGGUGAAUACGUUCCCGGGUCUUGUACACACCGCCCGUCACACCACGAGAGUUUGUAACACCCGAAGCCGGUGGAGUAACCAUUUGGAGCUAGCCGUCGAAGGUGGGACAAAUGAUUGGGGUGAAGUCGUAACAAGGUAGCCGUAUCGGAAGGUGCGGCUGGAUCACCUCCUUU